GACGAACGCUGGCGGCGUGCUUAACACAUGCAAGUCGAACGGAAAGGCCCUGCUUUUGUGGGGUGCUCGAGUGGCGAACGGGUGAGUAACACGUGAGUAACCUGCCCUUGACUUUGGGAUAACUUCAGGAAACUGGGGCUAAUACCGGAUAGGAGCUCCUGCUGCAUGGUGGGGGUUGGAAAGUUUCGGCGGUUGGGGAUGGACUCGCGGCUUAUCAGCUUGUUGGUGGGGUAGUGGCUUACCAAGGCUUUGACGGGUAGCCGGCCUGAGAGGGUGACCGGCCACAUUGGGACUGAGCUACGGCCCAGACGCCUACGGGAGGCAGCAGUGGGGAAUAUUGCACAAUGGGCGGAAGCCUGAUGCAGCAACGCCGCGUGCGGGAUGACGGCCUUCGGGUUGUAAACCGCUUUCGCCUAUGACGAAGCGUGAGUGACGGUAAUGGGUAAAGAAGCACCGGCUAACUACGUG
rnacentral:rRNA from 1 species